rnacentral:rRNA from 1 species
UACGGAGGGUGCAAGCGUUUUCCGGAUUCACUGGGUUUAAAGGGUGCGUAGGUGGGCCUGUAAGUCAGCGGUGAAAUCUCCGGGCUUAACCCGGAAACUGCCAUUGAUACUAUAGGUCUUGAAUUAUCUGGAGGUAAGCGGAAUAUGUCAUGUAGCGGUGAAAUGCUUAGAUAUGACAUAGAACACCAAUUGCGAAGGCAGCUUACUACGGAUAUAUUGACACUGAGGCACGAAAGCGUGGGGAUCAAACAGG